rnacentral:rRNA from 1 species
CCUACGGGUGACAGCAGUGGGGAAUAUUGCACAAUGGGGGAAACCCUGAUGCAGCGACGCCGCGUGAGUGAAGAAGUAUCUCGGUACGUAAAGCUCUAUCAGCAGGGAAGAAAAUGACGGUACCUGACUAAGAAGCCCCGGCUAACUACGUGCCAGCAGCCGAGGUAACACGUAGGGGGCAAGCGUUAUCCGGAUUUACGUGGUGUAAAGGGAGCGUAGACGGCAGCACAAGUCUGGAGUGAAAUCCCGGGGCUUAACCCCGGAACUGCUUUGGAAACUGUGCGGCUGGAGUGCAGGAGGGGUAAGCAGAAUGCCUAGGGUAGCGGUGAAAUGCGUAGAUAUUAGGAGGAACACCGGUGGAGAAGGCGGCUUACUGGACUGUAACUGACGUUGAGGCUCGAAAGCGUGGGGAGCGAACAGGAUUAGAUACCCCUGUAGUC